rnacentral:rRNA from 1 species
AGAGUUUGAUCAUGGCUCAGAAUGAACGUUGGCGGCGUGCCUAACACAUGCAAGUCGAGCGAGAAAGCUCCCUUCGGGAGUGAGUACAGCGGCGGACGGGUGAGUAACACGUAAGAAAUCGCCCUAUAGUGAGGAAUACCCUUGAGAAAUUGAGGUUAAUACUGCAUAAGUCCCUGCGGGGAGAAAGGCGUCUUUUAUGUCGCUGCUAUAGGAUGAGCUUGCGGACUAUCAGCUUGUUGGUGAGGUAAAGGCUCACCAAGGCUAUGACGGUUAACCGGCCUGAGAGGGUGUACGGUCACAUAGGCACUGAGAUACGGGCCUGACUCCUACGGGAGGCAGCAGUGGGGAAUAUUGCGCAAUGGGCGAAAGCCUGACGCAGCGACGCCGCGUGGAGGAUGAAGGUCUUAGGAUUGUAAACUCCUGUCAGAUGGAAAGAAAAGUUCAUGUUUAAUAGACGUGAAAUAUGACGGUACCAUCAGAGGAAGCACCGGCUAACUUCGUGCCAGCAGCCGCGGUAAUACGAAGGGUGCAAACGUUAUUCGGAAUCACUGGGCGUAAAGGGUGCGUAGACGGUAUGUUAAGUUUGUUGUUAAAGGCUCCAGCCUAACUGGAGUAUUGCGAUGAAAACUGGCAAGCUAGAGGGUGAGAGAGAGAAAGUGGAAUUCCCGGAGUAGCGGUAAAAUGCGUGGAUCUCGGGAGGAACACCAAUGGCGAAGGCAGCUUCUUGGCUCAUUCCUGACGUUGAGGCACGAAAAGCGUGGGGAGCAAACAGGGAUUAGAUACCCCCGUAGUCC